rnacentral:rRNA from 1 species
CGCAGCCGCGGUAAUUCCAGCUCCAAUAGCGUAUAUUAAAGUUGCUGCAGUUAAAAAGCUCGUAGUUGAAUUUCGGGACCAAUAUGUCGGUCGUGCCUCGGUACGUACUGGCAUCGUUGGUUUCUCCCUUCUGACGAACCAUGAUGUCAUUCAUUUGGUGUCAUGGGGAAUCAGGACUGUUACUUUGAAAAAAUUAGAGUGUUUAAAGCAGGCUCACGCUUGAAUACAUUAGCAUGGAAUAAUGAAAUAGGACGUUCGAUCCUAUUUUGUUGGUUUCUGGGAUUGACGUAAUGAUUAAUAGGGAUAGUUGGGGGCAUUAGUAUUCAAUUGUCAGAGGUGAAAUUCUUGGAUUUAUUGAAGACUAACUACUGCGAAAGCAUUUGCCAAGGAUGUUUUCAUUAAUCAAGAACGAAAGUUAGGGGAUCGAAGACGAUCAGAUACCGUCGUAGUCUUAACCAUAAACUAUGCCGACUAGGGAUCGGAUGAUGUUAAUUUUUUAAUGACUCA